UGGCGGCAGGCCUAAUACAUGCAAGUCGAGCGCGCCCUUCGGGGUGAGCGGCGGACGGGUGAGUAACGCGUGGGAAUAUGCCCUUCUCUAAGGAAUAGCCUCUGGAAACGGAGAGUAAUACCUUAUACGCCCUUUGGGGGAAAGAUUUAUCGGAGAAGGAUUAGCCCGCGUUAGAUUAGGUAGUUGGUGGGGUAAUGGCCUACCAAGCCUACGAUCUAUAGCUGGUUUGAGAGGAUGAUCAGCCACACUGGGACUGAGACACGGCCCAGACUCCUACGGGAGGCAGCAGUAGGGAAUCUUAGACAAUGGGGGCAACCCUGAUCUAGCCAUGCCGCGUGUGUGAUGAAGGCCCUAGGGUCGUAAAGCACUUUCGCCAGAGAUGAUAAUGACAGUAUCUGGUAAAGAAACCCCGGCUAACUCCGUGCCAGCAGCCGCGGUAAUACGGAGGGGGUUAGCGUUGUUCGGAAUUACUGGGCGUAAAGCGCACGUAGGCGGAUUAGUAAGUUAGAGGUGAAAUCCCAGGGCUCAACCCUGGAACUGCCUUUAAUACUGCUAGUCUUGAGUUCGAGAGAGGUAAGUGGAAUUCCGAGUGUAGAGGUGAAAUUCGUAGAUAUUCGGAGGAACACCAGUGGCGAAGGCGGCUUACUGGCUCGAUACUGACGCUGAGGUGCGAAAGUGUGGGGAGCAAACAGGAUUAGAUACCCUGGUAGUCCACACCGUAAACGAUGAAUGCCAGACGUCAGCAAGUAUACUUGUUGGUGUCACACCUAACGGAU
rnacentral:rRNA from 1 species